rnacentral:rRNA from 1 species
UGGUGGAGUGAUUUGUCUGGUUAAUUCCGUUAACGAACGAGACCUUUACCUGCUAAAUAGUCUUGGUAAAUCUUUUUAUGGUUUAUCCAACCGACUUCUUAGAGGGACAAGCUGUAUCUAGCAGCUGGAAGCUGGAGGCAAUAACA